GAGGUUGUCAACUAAUAGGGAGAUGGCGAUACCCGAAUGCGGUACGGGAUUUGUUUUGAAUAAACUGAGUGAGGUUAUUAAUUUGGAAAUGGUUCUGAAGAUUACUAAAGUAAUGAGAAAACAAAUCUGCGAGGAUCUGCACUUGACACAAGCUCGUCACUGUCAUGGUGUAAAAGGUGCGCACAGCUCUCUAUUGAUGUUUAAAGAUAAAAACACCGAAUGCAAUGAUGCCCCGCCGCAAUGAUGAACUCUUGAGAGACUCCUUGAAAAAAAGGUGACAAAACAUGAGUUCGGUGGUAUCCCUUCCAAAAGAACACGAAGAGUUCUUUUAACAAUAAAACAUAAAAGAGGAAAAAAAAUUAGAUUAAUGGAAUUCAAUUCGCUCGAGUAACAAAAAAAAUAAUUAAAAAAACAUGUGCGACAAGCGAAAAGCUUGUAACGAUGGAGAUGUAAAAAACGUAUAACGUGUAUGCAAUUCAAUAAUAAUAAAAAAACCUUCAACUUA
rnacentral:lncRNA from 1 species